UACGUAGGGGGCAAGCGUUGUCCGGAAUCAUUGGGCGUAAAGCGCGUGUAGGCGGCUCGGUAAGUCUGCUGUGAAAGUCCAGGGCUCAACCCUGGGAUGCCGGUGGAUACUGUCGAGCUCGAGUCCGGAAGAGGCGAGUGGAAUUCCUGGUGUAGCGGUGGAAUGCGCAGAUAUCAGGAAGAACACCAACGGCGAAGGCAGCUCGCUAGGACGGUACUGACGCUGAGACGCGAAAGCGUGGGGAGCGAACAGG
rnacentral:rRNA from 1 species